GAUGAACGCUGGCGGCGUGCCUAAUACAUGCAAGUCGAGCGAACGGACGAGAAGCUUUCUUUUCUGAUGUUAGCGGCGGACGGGUGAGUAACACGUGGAUAACCUACCUAUAAGACUGGGAUAACUUCGGGAAACCGGAGCUAAUACCGGAUAAUAUUUUGAACCGCAUUGUUCAAAAGUGAAAGACGGUCUUGCUGUCACUUAUAGAUGGAUCCGCGCUGCAUUAGCUAGUUGGUAAGGUAACGGCUUACCAAGGCAACGAUGCAUAGCCGACCUGAAAGGGUGAUCGGCCACACGGGAACUGAGACACGGUCCCGACUCCUACGGGAGGCAGCAGUAGGGAAUCUUCCGCAAUGGGCGAAAGCCUGACGGAGCAACGCCGCGUGAGUGAUGAAGGUCUUCGGAUCGUAAAACUCUGUUAUUAUGGAAGAACAUAUGUGUAAGUAACUGUGCACAUCUUGACGGUACCUAAUCAGAAAGCCACGGCUAACUACGUG
rnacentral:rRNA from 1 species